rnacentral:misc_RNA from 1 species
GCGGUUCUCUGUUUAGUCACAGCAGGGAGUCUUGUGUUUAGCGGGUCAGCAGAUACAGGAAUAUGCGUGUGGAGAAGACUAGGAAGCGAUCAUAUAUGUUUGUCAUUGUUGAAUGGCCAUACUGGGCCUGUUAAGUGUUUGGCAGCCGAGAAAGAUAAGAAAUCCAUCUCCCACGAGACGCCAUGGAUUUUGUACAGUGCAAGUGUUGAUAAGUCUGUGAAGAUGUGGCGGGUGUCGGAGAACGCUCCACCAGUUGCCUGGAACGGGUGUGCUAGUGCCAUGCCAAUUUCGCUGCCUCCAGCUCGAAGCUCUGACCGUAGCAGAAUAAACCAUAGAAGGCAU